rnacentral:lncRNA from 1 species
AAGCAUCGGAAUGAGGCUGUUCGAUGUCGACGUGAUUGGAACGGGAGGUGGAGACGGAGUCGGAGGUGGAGGCGGAGGGGGAGGAGACGGAAGCGGAGAUGGAGGUGGGAAUCUAUGGUGGCUUGCAUUGUAAAUGAUGUUUUUGUAGAGGUGGAGGUUGGGUGGAAGAUGGAAGAAAGAUGAAGGAGAGAGAGGGAGAAAAGGUGAGAAAAGUAAAAUGGUGUCACUUCUCUCCGUUAGACACAUCAGCAUAUUUUUAACGGAGUUAAUUUUGGAGGACUAAAACCAAAGUUUUCUAAAGUUGAAGGACUAAAUUGUACCAUACUUUGAAGGAGGGACUAAAACCAAAAUCGCCCUAAAGUACAGGGAUUAAAAACAUAUUUAACCCUUUUAUUAAUUAUAUAUUUAUUGUAUUAUUUGAUCAUUUGCAGUUCAGAUGAUCAACCACCGUAUAUAACAAUGUCAUUUAAUAUGAACUAUCACCUAAGAGAUCGUUCAGUCAUACAUGAAAUUGAAUGAUCAACCAAACUAUCUGGAUAACAAGUUGCUGAGCUCGAAUAAUCACCUAAUAAAUC